AGAGUUUGAUCCUGGCUCAGGACGAACGCUGGCGGCGUGCCUAAUACAUGCAAGUCGUACGCUUCUUUUUCCACCGGAGCUUGCUCCACCGGAAAAAGAAGAGUGGCGAACGGGUGAGUAACACGUGGGUAACCUGCCCAUCAGAAGGGGAUAACACUUGGAAACAGGUGCUAAUACCGUAUAACAAUCGAAACCGCAUGGUUUUGAUUUGAAAGGCGCUUUCGGGUGUCGCUGAUGGAUGGACCCGCGGUGCAUUAGCUAGUUGGUGAGGUAACGGCUCACCAAGGCCACGAUGCAUAGCCGACCUGAGAGGGUGAUCGGCCACAUUGGGACUGAGACACGGCCCAAACUCCUACGGGAGGCAGCAGUAGGGAAUCUUCGGCAAUGGACGAAAGUCUGACCGAGCAACGCCGCGUGAGUGAAGAAGGUUUUCGGAUCGUAAAACUCUGUUGUUAGAGAAGAACAAGGAUGAGAGUAACUGUUCAUCCCUUGACGGUAUCUAACCAGAAAGCCACGGCUAACUACGUGCCAGCAGCCGCGGUAAUACGUAGGUGGCAAGCGUUGUCCGGAUUUAUUGGGCGUAAAGCGAGCGCAGGCGGUUUCUUAAGUCUGAUGUGAAAGCCCCCGGCUCAACCGGGGAGGGUCAUUGGAAACUGGGAGACUUGAGUGCAGAAGAGGAGAGUGGAAUUCCAUGUGUAGCGGUGAAAUGCGUAGAUAUAUGGAGGAACACCAGUGGCGAAGGCGGCUCUCUGGUCUGUAACUGACGCUGAGGCUCGAAAGCGUGGGGAGCAAACAGGAUUAGAUACCCUGGUAGUCCACGCCGUAAACGAUGAGUGCUAAGUGUUGGAGGGUUUCCGCCCUUCAGUGCUGCAGCUAACGCAUUAAGCACUCCGCCUGGGGAGUACGACCGCAAGGUUGAAACUCAAAGGAAUUGACGGGGGCCCGCACAAGCGGUGGAGCAUGUGGUUUAAUUCGAAGCAACGCGAAGAACCUUACCAGGUCUUGACAUCCUUUGACCACUCUAGAGAUAGAGCUUCCCCUUCGGGGGCAAAGUGACAGGUGGUGCAUGGUUGUCGUCAGCUCGUGUCGUGAGAUGUUGGGUUAAGUCCCGCAACGAGCGCAACCCUUAUUGUUAGUUGCCAUCAUUCAGUUGGGCACUCUAGCAAGACUGCCGGUGACAAACCGGAGGAAGGUGGGGAUGACGUCAAAUCAUCAUGCCCCUUAUGACCUGGGCUACACACGUGCUACAAUGGGAAGUACA
rnacentral:rRNA from 1 species